GGAAGGAAGGAAGGAAGGAAUUUUAAUAAAGAAAACUAUUUCAGCUGGGCUGGGCCUUGUGUUUCUGAGACUCACAAACACAGGAGGGGAAGAAAAGGCUGGAAAGCCCCAAGACUCAGUGGGGUGGAAGAGGUAAGCAGCCUGACUCCUGGUGGGUUCCUGGUAAGGCGACUGCAGAGUCUACUGUGGGUAGAUGCCCAAGCCAGCUGUGGCAUUGCAUCUCUGGGGCUAUGGGACAUUGCAGGAUAAGUAAAAAGACUGGGAACUAAAAGUCAUAACCUCUUUUUAAAGGCCCAUUUUGUCAGGGCACUGAGCAAGAAAGACUUUUCUGCAGGGACCAGCAGCACCAUAUAGAUGCUUAGGUACUGAGGGACAUUGGGGGGAUGGUAGGGGACGCUGAAUGAAUGGUGAAGGCUCUGGAAGGAUGGCUGGGGUACUUGUAGGAUGGUGGGGGCACUUGGUAUAUGGUGGGGGACCACUUCUAAUACCCAUGCAGGAGGAGGGACAGUCAUGUCCACCCAGCUGAGAGUCAGGAGGUCUUCCCUACUUAACACCAUUUCAAAAUGUGUAAGACCUUAGAGUUUUUGUCCUAUCUAGGGGAGGCCAGGAGCCAGGAGGGUUAAAUCCUGGGUCUCCCACCCUGGGUACAUUUACCUAAUUUGCAAAAUAAAGGUGGCCUUCUUUGCAUUCCUGGAGGUGGCACUCUUUGGACAGCUACAGGCCUUCUGUCUGCUUUUCCCUGUCAGUUUCCUCACCAGCACUCUCUCCUCUGGGCCUUCUCCCCUGGACCACAGCUCCCAGACCCUCCUUCCUCUCCUUCCCUGCAUCCUGUCUUGGACAUGCAUCCUGUACUGUCCCCCUUCCCCCGGCUUCACUGUGUUCAAGAGGGUCAUGAAAACAACAGGGAGGAAAGGUUGUUAUUCUAACACUAACUUUUUGUUCUCCAUUGUUCAAAAAAGUAAAUGGACUAUGGCACUUUACCUACUUUGGCCUCUGUUACUGUCUCCUUAAAAGGUUCAGGUUACAAUCUCUAAGAUGCUUUCUAGUUCAACAGUUCUAUGAUCCUUGCUGACAGUUGGAAAGUAUUUUGAUCAUAUUUACAGUCACAUGAAGAGACUGGAGCCACUGGGAUGCCUUUGGAUAUCUUAACUGGUGUAGCUGACCCACCCAUGUCAAGGGCUCACCCAGGAGUCCUUGGAGGGCCUGGGUGAGAGGCAGGCUUUAUUCCCAGUCUCAAAGCACUUCAGGAAAGAGUGGUCGCUAACCCUGAAUUGCUUGAAGAUGAGAAGUUUCAGGUCAGCCCACCUCUCAAAGUGCAAUUCGUUAGAGGACUUAUUCAAGGUCAAACAUUAAAACAUUUUUAACAAGCCAUCAUGCACACUGAAAUCACUCUUUAACAAUACUCCUCCGGUCUCUUCCAUUCUCUACCAGAAUCUUCAAUAUCUUUGUGCAUAUAAUAGGGAGGUGAUAGCUUACAGGAUAACCAGGAAGACUCAGACAAGGUGCAAACCUUACCUCUCAUGGUUGCUGGGUGCUGUGCACAGGAAGUUCUUAGUAGAAGUUAUUGCUGCUAAACAUGGGCUCUCACACCUGCUGCUCCGUUCCCACCAGCAACAGCCCAUGAGUUCAUCCUUCUUCCUAUUCUUCUGGGUCCUGAAAGGAUCUUUUUUGAGAAAUCGGGUUUCUUAGCCACAAACCCAGUGAGUCCAGGGGAAUUGUCAACACAGUGAUCCAUUUCUUUGGAACUCUACUUGCAUGAUUUUCCAUAUUUAAUGACAUUCUACCAGCAGGAUAAACAUACAGGCAAGGUUGAAUCAUCUUUCCUCUCCCCUUGGAUCAGGAACCCAAGAAAACAGGUGCAGGAAGCAGGUGGGAGCUCUGGAGAGCAGGAUGUUGCUUACGCCGUGCUUAUACUGCUCAAGGGCCCCAAGGGGGAUGUGGGAGGGAGGAAUAAGGGGGCUCUUCAUCUAACUGGGGGCUCCUCUCUAUAAUGACAGCAGAUCUGCAGACAAGGGGCACGGUAUGGGGCACCUGCCUGGAAGCAGUUCUCCCAGAAGCCCCUUUCAAUCAAGACCAGGAAGAAGCACUUUCCCUAGCAGUGGUUGAGAGCAUUUGGGGGGAGCCACAGCACUCUGCUGGAUUGCCCAGAGAUGGGGGGUACCACUGUAGGAACCUACAGGAUUUGGCUGUGAAGGGAGUGAAUUAAGUUCACGUCCCACAAGGGCAGCUUACUCUUGUGGGGAGAGGAGAAGAGGGGAGUCCCCAAAGAAUCUCUCUUUGAGCUCUUUUAGAAAGCACAAAGUUUCCCAGAUUGGAUGAGAGAAAAGAAAAGAGAAAAUGUAAAGACUUCCAAAGAGAUAAACAGAUCUAAGCAUACAAAGGGGCGAGUGGAAGAAGAUGGCAUUAAAAAUGUAUAUAUCCUCACCUUCUUCCAUCGUGGGCUUUGAAAAAACGUACAGAAGUACACACAAUGCAGAAGGAAACGAAACAAAUCAAAGGAUUUAUCUUUAAAAAGGCCUUUGGGACUUCCGCCUAGAGACAGCACAAAGGUAUUUGUAGUUCUUGUCCCUUCUUAGAAACCCACGGCAAACAGCACUGCAUAAAAGAGAAGGAAAGAAAGCUCUUCAUCUUCUGUGGAACAAGGGAAGGGCCACCACCUCAGAGCUCAACCUCCCAGUACUGAGGAAUCCAGGGAAAAAUGAGAGGAUUGGGGACUACCCUGGGGCUUGAGCAAGAGAGAGGUUUCCCUCAAGGUGAGGAUCCACAUCCUGAAGGAGCCUUUGAUUAGAAAGACUAAUUCUUGGACUGGGUGGCCCUCCAGACGGACAGGAAUACCCCUGUCUCCAGGCCCCCACAUCCUGAAGAACAUCUGGGAAGUCAGCCCUGAGGAUACAGUCUCAGGGCCCACCAUUUCCAUUAUCUAGACCAACUCCUGGUCAAGGGCACCUGCCAGAGGUGGGUGAAGGAGGUUCCAGAGGCAGCGUUUGCUGUUUGCCAGAGUCUGUGAUUCAAAAGAGUCGUUGAACAGCAUGGACCCAGAAUCCAAAGGGAAAUGAGCAGCCAGUGUGAAGGAAAGAAGAUUCCGUGGAAGUGGGUUGGAGACAAGAAACCUGAACCGAAGUUCCAGACUCUCCCGGCUCACUUCUCCUGUCCCUCCUCAGACUUAUCUUCAAUAAAUAGCUGAUUGCAUUAAAAAAACAAAACAAAACAGGAAGGAACAACAAAAGAACCCACAUGAGUCUUAGCUAUAGGUCCUGCAGAGGCAGGAGGCAUAUGAUUUGUAAGGGAGCCCAUGCUAAGAGACAUCUUAAUUAUGUUUGAAGCAUCCAGGAUGCUUCCCACUGGUGCGUCUGGUGAUGCCAAAUGAAAGCAUUAUUUCUGUUGUGAAAAAAACAGACUUGGUCAUGGACUUGAGUUAGCCAAGUAAAUAUUUUCUUGGCAGUGUACAGCAUGAGUGCAAAAUGCCUAUUACGCAUAGACUAUAAUUACAGCGUUCCAUUAACGUUUUCAAGUGAUUUUCCUUUUGGGUAUGGCGGUGGCUGGGACUUGGGAGAUGUGAGCUCUGCCCGCCAUCUUUGCCUGGAAACCACUAACUGAUGUCUGAGUUUGGAGAUUUGAUAGGGACACACUGGAGUAGUGGAUGGGUAGGGAAGUAUGAGUUGUGGUGAGUUCACAUCGAAACCUGUUGCGACUCAUUGCCAAAACUUUUGGGUGAAACUGGUCUUACUAAGUGAAAUGGAAAAAAAUUCCAGUCUCUAAUCCAAUUAGUUUCCAGAAUUAAUUUACUCAGUUUUUAUUCCUGGAGCAUGUUGGGUUUUGACCAUCCUUUUCUUUCCCUGAGUUUUAAAAAGAUAAAUAAUAAAAAUAAAUCAUAGAAGGAAAGAAUAGAUGUUGAGAACAAUUAAGCCUCUCCUAAACACAGGAGGGCGGUGAUUUAUCCAGUAUUAGGAGCAGUUAGUGAUUACUCUUCUCAUUUAUAACUUCUGUGAGAAAAGUGGUAUUAUCCCCAUUUUAUGGAUGAUAAAAAAAAUGUAACUCAUUUAAAUCACACAGCUAGUAAUUGAAAGAGUUGGGAUCAAAAACUAAUGAUUACAGAAUGAGUCGAUUAACAUCAGAAGAGUUGGUAAACUGAGCACCUGUCAGUAAGAAAUGUUUCUUAAAGAGUCUACCUUUUAAAUACUUUAGAGGGUCCAAGACAGAAACCUGACUGUAUGCAUUUUAUUCAACCCGCAUGCAAAAAUCUUAUUAAAAUGGCCAGAGGACUAUAAUAAGAGGGGGAAAUGUGCAGAAAAACAAGGAAGGAUGCUAUCCAUUUCCUAGGGACAAUGUGUUCUUUCUGUAAGUGGCAGUGGAGUCUUGUCUGGACUGAGGGGCGAGGGGGCUCUGAUGAGGACAACUUGGUCACACAGCAUCAAACCCGCUGGCUUGUGUGUGGUUGGAGAUGAGGGCGGCCGCAGAACUUGCCAGAAGUCAUCAGAGUGAGAAGGCUCCCUAGGUGCACCCUCCUGCCUCGUGUUGGCCUGUGGCAUGACAAGGCGAGGCGAGGACCUAAAUGUCCAUCAGUUUUUAAUGCAGGCUGUGCCUGGCACCAGCAAGUGGCCCUCGGAGCUGGGGUCUUCUCUGGAAUCUAGCACGUUUACACCUUGGAGGUUGAUGAUUUACCCACUGGCUCUGGGACACUGGGAUGAGUUGGAAGGAGUCCUAAUGCUCCACGAGUCCUAGGCUUUUAUGGGAUACAGAAUGAACCAAGUUAUGACAAAUGGCAGGGAAGCCCCCAAGUAUAUGGAAAUCCCAGAGGAGAGAGUGCCUGUGUGUGUGGAGGGGAGGGAACUCAGAAAAGGUGACACUGCUAGACUUCAAGACUGAUUUAGUAAUUGUUCACCCAGGGGUCAGCAUGCAGCUCUGGAGGAAUAAAGGCAUUGGACGGGAUGAGGACAUGGGAUAGUGGUGGAAACACCUUGGAAGUGGAAGACACGGGGUAAUGCACCCCACCAAAGGCACCCCUCCAGAUCUAUGGGGAAAGUCCCUAAGCCCGGGAGGUGGGGGGGACAGAAUGUUCUGGGAUAUUCCUGGGUGCUCUGGCAGGAAUCCCUAUGGAGGUAAUUUAGGGAAGAGGGUGGGAUUGCUUAUCUUUGUGGAAAAAGAACACUCCCUGCCCAGAGAGGGGAUGAUGAAUGUGGCUUUGAACUUGUAUCUAAGGUGGUGCAUCCAAUCAGCCACAUCCCUGGGCCAGGGAGGCAGUAUUAUACUGGGUGCAAGUUUCCUCGUCCGCAAGCUUGAGUGAUGUGCUUAUCACUCCGUCACGUGGCAGCUGUGCAUUAUGGGGGUCUGGCACAUGCACUCCAAGUUCAGUAACUAUAAAUGCAAUCAUUGUGUUUUCAAGUUAUUCUUGUUUCAAUUCAAUGUUUCUUUCAUUAUUCAACAAUGACCUCUUCUGGAAAAACCAACCAACAGAGAAACAAAAAAAUUUACGUUUCAUUUGUACAGCGUGGGAUCAGUUCCUCUGCCUUUGGCCAAGAGACCUCAAGCUAUCUCAUGUCACAGUUCAGUGCGUUUCCUCUGCCUGAAACUUCCUUUCUCAUCAAUUCUGCAAUUGACUUAUCCUUCAACGCUCUGCUCAGUGUCACCUCUGCCCCUGCCUAUGUUCUGCAUGUUCCUCUUAUGAUAUGCACCUGUCAUGGAGUACUGUCAUUCCUGGAUCACAACCACUGAGACGUCUGUCUCCCUGACUGUUCCUGGAGGCUCUCUUUACCUAGCACUUAGCAUGUAGUAAAUCUGAGCAAAUAUUUAUUGAAGAUUGUCUUGAAGAGAAACCCAUGAAAUACUUGGAGGAAAGUGCAUUUUUUUUUUUUUUUACAUUCUUUGCUUUGAGUCACUAUUGCACAUGCUUGGCUUGGAGUUACUGUGCACUCAAAACCCAAACAAGUUCUGAAAUGAGAUUAAUUCAUGAUUCAUUCAUUUAAGCCAUUUCUGCCCGCCUUCACUCCCCUGCCCUUGUGGCACUUCUCUACUGGCUUUGUUCCAGGCUCUGGGAUACGGAGAUGAGUAAGGGAGUCAGUUUCUGUGCCCAAGCUGAAUGAGGGUGACUUCACAUCUCCCCAGGUAGUAUUCAGAAGGAGGAUCCAUUGGCGUUUUACCUACAGUGAAGUAUUGGUUUCAUCUUCUGACUCUAGUAUCUUUCCUUUGAUGCCUGUAUUUCAUUGGUCUGGCCAUUGGACAGGGAAGUACCAAGAUUUGGAUUUGGGUCCUCAUGUUAGGUGUAGAUAAAGAUGUAGAAAGGACAGUGGUCCAAAGGGUCAGGAGACCCAGGUUCUUGAGGGAGUUUUUCUACCAAAGUUUGCAUGACUUUGGGAAGUGGUCUUUUCUCCUUUGGUCUUAGUCUCUGUCAACACAUAAAGAAGAGAUAAGGCAGGCAGUCUUUGGGUUUUCUUCCACAAAGCUUGAGUCUUAUCGUACAGCUCAAAGUGCCCUGGAAUCCAUCAGCAGGAGCACUUUGGGAAGAUUACCCUUGGCCCACAAAUUGGACCUCCCUCCUCCCCAGCUGGGUGAUUGGCAUCUCAUCAAUACAGUCAUAACAUCUGGUUUAGAAAACCAGAGCAAUGUCUCUAAAUUGACUGUCAGAACCUUAUUGCUGAUGGGUGAAAACCAUCUCAACGUCUAAAUGAAAGUCCACGAACCGGACCAACACAGCGGCCUCGGCAAGGCGGGGGCAGAAUUCUGAGCAUGGGGAGGUGAGUCUGUUUAUUUGUUUCCUGAUUCUAAUUAGAGAAAGGGAAAGAGUGUCAGGAGUCUUUAGUGAUUCACAUCUUAAUAGCCUGGUUAUAAUUUAUUAAUCCUUUUCAUCAAAAUUUCAGCAUCCCUUUCCCCAGGAGUCUAAGACUGACUCAAAUGUAUUUAUUGUUUCGAGGUGGGGUGUCAUUAAAUAUUUGGCAUCUCCUAAAGCUGGCUGGGAGAGCAGAUCCCAUACCAUGUGCAGCAUACAAUUUCUGGGAAGGAAAGCAUGAGUUGGUAGAGCAUUAAGCCGGAUGAGAGACAUAUACAGAUAGGCAUGUUUAUUCUUUAAAAUAUUUACCACCACAUACUUCUCUCCCAUCUUGACGACAUAGGGCCACUGUUCCACUUUCUCCGGCAGUUUCCCCUCACCAACCAAGGCCAUAGUUUUCCUUGGAGGGAAGCAUCAGCAUGAAUAGGACAUGCGCCAUGUUUUAAUCCACUCAGCUGUCUUCACCUACAACGCACCCGAAUAUGCGGUGCCAUUAUUAAGGGUCUAUCUUUAUCACAAGUCAGGAAAGGGCUUCGGGGGUGAAAAGGCCAGGAAAUUGAAUCUUGGAGGCGUAAGGGUGACUCGGAAUCAUGACUUUUUAAGGCAGAAAAGGACCUUACAGGUUUAUCCUCUUUUGAGGAUGUGAACUCUUUCAUGGCAUUUCCUCUGAAGUGGUCCCGUCAGAGAGACCGCUCAGGAUCUGUGGAGCAGCCUUCCACCACGGGGAGCUUUGCCACUAGAAAGUUCUUCCUCCCUCUGACUUAAAACCUUCCUGUCUUUAGUUUUUUCUAAGACACUCUUGGCCUCUUGAUAGUAAAUGGGGGAGCCAGAUGAGGGGUGGAGUCAGAGUGGGACAAGGCUCUUCAACACUAGCAGCCCAGGCACAUCUGCCCCACGGGUACUGUGAAGCAUUAACUAUUUAUAUUGCUAUAAUUUGAACAUGAUUUAUUCCCACCAAAACUCAUGUUAAAGCUUGGUCCCCAGUGUAACAUUAAAGUCUGGGGGCUAGGGAAACACUUUGGGACUUCUAGAACGAGCUAAAUAAUCUUCUUUUUCUUUAUAAAAUACCCAGCCAUAGACAUUUUGUUAUAGCAACAGAAAAUGUAUUAUGACACAUAGGGUUUAUUCUGAAUAGAAGAAUACAUCCUCCAUAUGAUCUAGCUUAGUUUAUUAGAAUUCUACAAUAGAUUUUAGUACUGAAGCCUCAGCUAAUAGUGUCUUAUUUUGACACUUUGAGACAUGUCUAAUCUCUUUGGUCUCCUCACGAGGAAGAAAGUGGUUGGGCCACUGCAGAAUUUAGGGCUUACCUGUUUCCACUGGCCAAAUACCAUUUUUCCUGUCACUUUUCAAGCUCAUGACUUCUGCUACAGGGGACUUUGAGACUGUACAACCUUUAGCUCAUUUAGGUCACCCUUGAACUAGCACAGUGCCUAUUUGUGCUCACACUGUAGACUUCCAAAUUUCUUCAUCAAUUAUCAGAAGCCUCAAUGACUUUAUCUCAUGACAUCAUACAUAUCUUUGGGCCUUUGGUGUCUGAGUUCUACCUGUAAAAGCAGAGGCCUUUUAAUGUCUUUGGUUCAACAUUGAUUUACUCGGUCACGGCUUGAUCAGCACCCUUAGCUUUCUUAUCCACUCAACUUGUCCUUGGAGAACAGAGCCUUCAGGGUCUAUGAUGACAUGUCUUAGAAGUUCACACACACAGAGCCUUUUUCUUUCCCAAUAACAAGGGAUGUAGAAACCUUAUGACUCAUUAAAACAGAUCCUAUCUUUACCUUGUUCUUAAUGAUCAAAACCCGUUCCCUCCCAAGAGCUGUCUCAUCCAUGGCCCCAUUUUGAUGGCAUUGUGACCAUUUUCAUGGAAGGAGCCAACACACUCACACAUACAUGCACACACACUCACACUAACACGUGCACUGUCCGGCUUCUAGCCAUCCUGCAGACAGCUUGUCAAAGGGUCUCCAGGUUUCCCCAUGGCUGAAUACACUGCCUCUGGAGUCUGUGUACAUCUUACACUAGCACACCAGUGAGCAGGCAUUACCUGGAGAACUUCACCUUGGGCCUCCAGAAGAUUUUUUAUUUUAUUUUUUUUUAAAGAAAGACAUAAUGAAAACCUCACAAGGUACAAAUCCUAAGAAGCAAUGUGACUGACAUCAAACUUUCCAUUACGUUCAGCACAUUCAUUUGAACAAUGAGGCAUAGGAUGGAAUCUGUAUUGAAUUUCUUACUAAUGGGUCAUUAGAGGAGAUUCGUGCUGCCUGCUGUUGUCCAACUAUUUUCUUAAGAGAAUUAUUUUCUGUUCACCACAGUGCCUGUUGCUUUGGCCAAAAAAUCAAACAGAAUGAGGAAAAAUCUGGCCUUCAAAGGACACUGUACAUUAUUGUAAUUAUAAUAGUAAUAGCUAUCUGCAAACAGUGACCUGAGUCCUAGGUACGUUAUAUACAUUGUCUUUAAUAUUUAUGUUUCCAGAAAAUACAUAUUUUGUUGGUGAUAGUGCCAAGAUGGCAAGAUGUUUUUCUGAGACCUGAAAUCCAUGAGUCCUUGAUCAGCUUCCCACCUUGGCUGGCACCAGUCCAGCUAGCAAGGUACAGAUGGACAGAGCUAGUCAGAAGGAAAAUGUUUAUUUCUACAGAGAAAGCUUUGGCACCAUCUCUUCCCACCCUAGUGAGAUAAGCGAGACUCUUUCUGAACAGAAAGAAAGGUCUAGUUUUGUGCCUCUGGAUAGACUAUGCUAAAAGCCAUCCUAUCUCAUAGUAAGAGCCCUCAUUCCCAUGAGCCAAACUAAAGAAGGACACUCCCAAGGGAAAGAGGAUCAAAUGGAAAGAGCCUUUUCCUAAGAUCUAGCAUAGCAGGCUCCACUCUCCCACCUUUAUCAAAUUAAUGGUGGAAGAGGGGGUCUCGUAAGUUUGGGCAGCCCCAGGCCCUUGUUAGCCAACUAGAGUCAGUCCCCAAAAGGAAAAAGGAUCCAGUAGGGCAUGUGUGUGAAAGUAAAGGUCUUAAAGCUUUUUGUUCCUCCUCUUAGAAGCUCUCUGCUGGCACAGAAAGGGUCGAUGGCUGAGAUGCCUGCAGAUGCUCUGUGCUCCUGAACCUUGGCCUACAUCCCAAAUCAAUGAUGGCUUUCAUCCUUGCCAAACCUAGACUCUUUCUCAACAUGAUGCCCUAAAGCAUCUAUAUUAGAUGAUUGGAACUGGGGCGUUUGAGAUCCUUUCACUGUCAUUGUCUUAGCACCCAGUAGAGCGGUGCCUGUGGUCCACGUCAGAAGUCUCCUGUUGGCCAGUUGAGGAUGUGGGAAGGUGUGCUAGCUAUCCUCCCCGGCGGCCAACAUGCCCCCAUAGUUUGAUCUUCUCGCCUUAACUUAGGGAUGUGGCUGUUAUCCUUUGGCCAGAAAAAUAAAAAGUAUCAGAAAAGUCUUGUAUGAUUCUUCCAGAGGUGUCUUCUUCAAUCCUUGCUUCUUCCUUUGUGUUUAGACCUGUAAUCAAUGAAUGGGCAGCUCAGGCCAUCUCCCUCAUGGUUGACAUGCUUAUUAAGCCACAUCGUCUCACCUGUUCUAACUUCCAUCUAGAAGGAUGCUUGGCCCCUUUGUACAAACAAGCUCACCAGACAGAGUUACACAUUGUGCAUGCCAGAAUAGUAGCAAAUACCCUGAGUGCUAUGCCAGACAGGAAGUCUUUGCUGAGCAAUCUGGGAUGUGAAAAUACCUGUCAACAGUAUCUCUAAGAACUUCCUGCCAUCAGUCCCAUGCCUACAGAAUAUAGAAAUCUCAACACAUCUGGGGAUCUGUGUGACUUCACUUUUCCCCUUGUGACUCAUAUCUAGAACAGAAGCAGACCAAGGAGCUCCAUGGUCCUAUUUCUCCACUUUUCAAAUAAAAAGUGUCCUGGGGUCCUUUAAACAAAAUGCUUAUAACAAGUGACCAAUCCAUACAUAAACCAGGACAGCCCUAGAGACGGAGAUAAGAUGAAGCUGGUCCCUGCCAUUUGGAUGCUCAUAAUCCCCAGAGCUGAGCUCUGAGGAGGAGUCUGAAUCUCAUUCAAUUCCAGGUCAUUAUCUCCUGGAAGCUGGCAUGUGCAGUUGGCAUUUGAUUUUGACAUGAGUUUAUGUUUUCCAGAUGCCGCAAGUGAGUCGUGGCACAGUCAUUUGUCUUGUUGACUCUUUGGCAGUUUGGAAAAGCAGGAGCGGGCUGGUGCCGGACGGGUCCACCUGGAGAGGUGCAGUGGAGGAUGCCCGGGUCUUCAGAUCAUGAAGAAGAGACCCAUUUUUCAACCAGACUCCUACAGCACAUCUGGGAUCGAAUGGGAUAAGAAGAAACAAGGGACAAAAGGAGAUUUUGACAUAAUUUGAGAUUUUUUUUCCUCCAUGGCAAAGAAGGUGAUGCUUAUCCCCCCAUCAGGCCUGGCCCCGAGCCAUUGGAGUAACUGGAGAGAGGUGAAAGAUCAACCUCUAGAGGGCGCUGUAGUUGGCGCCUGUGGUGGAGAUCAACUCAAGUUCCUGCCUGGAGCAGAACUUCACGAAGAGGGGCAGGUUGAACAAUUUUGGCGUCCAGGAGUAAACUAAGAAGCCUCUGUGUGCCCUCGCAAGGCCAGUGGGACCCUAAAUGACACAGGUGAAAAAGCAUAAAUGAGUGGCUUACUCGGGAAGACUAAGCUUUAGGGAGUGACUUGCUUUCCCUGCCCCAGACUGAGGGCCUACCUUCAGGAAAAGGUACCCUGUAGGCCAGUUAACCUGCUCUGGCCAAGGAGUCCAGCUGGGAGCUUGAAUCCACACAUCAGCCAGUCCAGAUUCCUAGAGAACUCUGCGAAGGUUUGGGGCCAUGAUUAGUAAUACAGAAGGUGGGCCUCUAUGUGCCUUUCUUUCAGCCUUCGAGGACCCUGUUGGUCCACAACAAGUAGCUGCAUAAGAUCCAGAGGUUCUGAGCCUGGCUUCUGGCAGUCAAAAUGAACCACUGACAUCUCAUAGUACAGAAAGGUCAUUGGCUUUCAAGUGGCAGAGCCAGAACGAAGACUGCUCCGACUCUUUCCCCCGAUGGCCUGGGCGUAUGUGUCAGCCCUGCCUCUUCUACCCACUGAGUGACACCAGGCCAGUGCUCCUUCUGGGCCUCAGUUUCCCCAUCUGACAAAUGCCUGGUUUACACAGGCCCUGCUUCAAAUCUGACGUUACAGGAUUUGUCACAUUAUCACCACUCCUAAUGUUUUGAUUGAAGAACUUGGCGUUUUAACCUUCCUUUUUUUUUUCUUUUUCCCUCAAAGUUUCCAAAUCGGGAAUUCAAGCCUGUAGCCAAUGAACUUUCCGCCCCCGUUAUGAGAAACAAUCUCCAGAAUCCAGAGGAAGUUGAGGUCCAGGACUCACCCCAGGGGAGGAAUCCACAUAAACAUAACUCACUUUGUCUUAAAAAAAAAAAUGAAAUCCAAAAAUUUGUGACGUCCUCACCCCCCUCCCCCA